rnacentral:lncRNA from 1 species
UGAAAACAUUGAUCCAAACAUACUGAGAUGCUGGCAGUUCAGGAAAAUCUUCAUUGAUAACUCCUUAAGAAAUUAACCUGCUGCCUUUCUCUGAUUGUGAUUUUGUGUACAAAAAGCUUAACCCUUAGGACAUUGACAUUUUACCAAAUGACCAAGCAAACAGUCAGAGCACAGCUGGAUUUCAGUCAGAAAGUCUCCUGGGCAAAGUCUCCUGGAGUUUUGAAGCAGUGUGUAUAAUAGCGAAUUCAUCAUCUUCUCCAGCAUUCUAAAUGCCAUUCUUGCAGCAAGGAAUGAGGACAGGUCAGCAUCAUGGGCACUACUAAAGAACCAUCGGAAUGCUGCAACAUGGGCUCACAGUCCACGUGUUCUGCCCCUUCAAAGGCAAAUAGGCUGAACUGCCUCCUCUGUGUCAUCACAACAAACAAAACACCUGGCAAAUAUGACAGCAGAAGUAAAAAGAUGCAGCGCAGUUCUAACAGGAGCAUCAUCCACGUCCAUACUGUGAAGGGUUGAACACAGUUUCUCCAAGCAGACUGCACAGAACAACCAAAGUCACUGGUUACACUGUUUUGUUUUGUUUUUUUUUUCCCCAAAGAUUUUCAGCUCUGCAAAUUUAAGAGACCUCCUGUCUUUCUAAAUAUAGAGACCUUCCUGUAAAAGCUUGUUGACAUGGAAAAAAUUGCUUAAAGUUUCCUUUAAAUUUGUUAAAUAUUCCAUUAAAGUGUACUGGUUUGCUAAUUGCUUGAGAGCUCCAUUUUUGAUUUUGGAAUUUAUCCUAUUAAGUAGCCCAGAAAAAGAAAAAGCAGUUUAAAAAUAAUGCCAAUUUCCAAAAGGCUCUGCUUUGAAGACUUUCCUAUUAAAACCAUUAGAAAGCAGAAAGGUUCUUGUCAUUGUCUAAAUGUAACCGUUACGAAAGUGACUUUAAGAGCAAUCUGUAUUGUAGUAAAGCAGGGAUUAGCAAAACCCACCUGAAGAACUUCCUCUGCAUUUCUCCCUGUGAACACACAGUUCUAAUUUUGUUUUGGUUUAAUUGUGCUGGUUUGCUUCAGGUUACUUUUUAUCUUUUCCAAAGCUUAUAUUUAAGGUGG